rnacentral:rRNA from 1 species
UACGAGGGGGGCAAGUGUUGUUCGGAAUCACUGGGCGUAAAGGGAGCGUAGGCGGGUUUCUAAGUCAGGUGUUUAAUCCCGGGGCCCAACCCCGGACGGGCACUUGAAACUGGGAAUCUUGAAUAGUGGAGAGGUCAGUGGAAUUGGGGGUGUAGCGGUGGAAUGCGCAGAUAUCAGGAGGAACACCGGUGGCGAAGGCGGUUCUCUGGGCCUGUACUGACGCUGAGGAGCGAAAGCGUGGGGAGCGAACAGG